CCCUGGGAUAACUCCCGUUAGGAGACGUGCUAACUGUCCAGGCGCGGUGGGGUUACAUAUUUAUUUUUCAGUCCUAGGGAUUGAACGCAGGGCCUUAACACAGAUUUACACCCGCAUCCGCCUUUUCUAUUUUGAGACAGAGUCUCUCUAAGUCACCCAGGCUGGGCUCCAAUUUAUGAUCCUCCCUCCUCAGCCUCCCCGAGUGCAUUGAUUACAGGCGCCAAAGGUGAUGGUGGUUUUAAGUGACAGGUUGUAUUCGUUUCACGGUGCACAGGGUUCAUUUUAAAGAAAUGGGAAGGGGAUCUGGAGAUUUGAGGGAGAGGGGAGGGGUUAAGGGGAGGUAAAAAGGAUCAAGCUGUGUGCGUGGCCCAGUCCCCCAGGAUGAAUGUGUUUACUGUGGAUCACAAACACACUAGUAAAAGAGGGAUCAAACCCAAAGAUGAAAAUAAUUAAAAGUGCUCGGAAAUACAGACAAGGCCGUAGUGUGCGUUGAUGGACGCUGGAGCUGACGCCUGGACUCACCUCGUGCUGCAGACAGGGAAGGGUGGGGAGCUGCAUUAAUGCAUUUAAGUCUCCUUUCCAACAGGAAUAAACGUGGGUCACUCAAGAAGCUCCUGAAAGGACUACCAGCAAGAGAGCCCCACCUGGGCAGCUUAGCAAGACCCUGCCUCUAAAUACAAAAUAAAAAGGGCGAGGGAGGUAGCUUCCUGGGAGCACCAUGGUUCAGCCGCCAGUAUCUGAAGGUAAAAAUAAAGGACCUGCUGUGCGUACACACCGUUUAAAUUGUGGCUGCACGGUUUGGGGCCUGAGCCCUAUGUUGAAGAUACUCCUCGAGAACAGGAGAUGAAUGACCUGGAAUGAGCCAGCAGUCAUGCAAGAUUUUGUCUGUUGAGUCUUCAUCUAAACUGAAGUCCUAGACUCUGUUCCCAAAAGGAGAAAGGAGAGCUCUGGCCCUCAGCUGACCUCUUUGCUCCCGCCUAUAGCAGCCCUAGUGCCGCCCACUGUCCGGCCUCCAACUUCUCCUGGCAUUCUUCCCAAACAACCUCUGUGAACAGGCAGGACAGAGCCGCUCCAAAACAGCUGAGGGCUGGUAUUGGUGACUUCAGUGGCGCAUCUUGGAGGCUUCCAGCAGUCCUAACACAAGGGCACACCUGGGUGCAAAACAACCGCAUUUGAAAAUGUAGGACCGAUGGCUCAGCCUCCGUGCAGUGGCCUGAAUGCCCCACUCCUCUGGGCCUGCCACAGAGGACCCCUGUGUGCCCAAUGGGCCAUCCCAGAUUCCUACACUGUAACAGGAGUCCAGUUUGGUUCAUUGAUGACCAGAUGUCCUGCCCAAGUCAGAUGGGGGAACUGUGCACAUGUAACAAAUAACAUCUUGCCAUUCAAUUACAGUUCCAUUUUUCAGAAGUGUUUGAAAUUCAGAUAACCCUCAUGUCCUUUCCUGAGUGUGCUUUUGAUAUUUCUAAGUCUCCAAGGAAGUAGGUAAUCUUGAGGUAAAGAAGGGGGAGAUGUGAGUAAAUACUGUUCCUUAUUGGAAUUGAUAUUCACAGGAGUACCCAUCUGUUGCUUAUUAGUCACGAUGGAUUUGCCAUACAGGGAAACUAAGGCCCAGGAAGUCAAGAUCACAACAGAACUUGAUCUCAUUGCUUUGAUCUGAGUUAUCUCUGUUGAAGCCAUCCCCAAGAAAAACUUGUGUGGUACUAAUGUUUCUAGAAAAGUGGCUGACCCCAUGCUAGGCUCUCACUGAGCAUGUGUGGAAUAGAUGCCAUUUUGAAAUUUCUAAGCAUUUUGAAAGGGUAAGUGUACAUCACAACAAUCAGCAUGACAGUGUAGAAUAAGAUGGUCACCCGACACAAUUAGCACAGCGCUUCAAUUGUUUAUU